CCACCCGUUCCCAUCCCGAACACGGAAGUUAAGCCCUCCAGAGCCGAUGGUACUUCGCGGGAAACCGCGCGGGAGAGUAGGUCGCUGCCGGAU
rnacentral:rRNA from 1 species